CUCAUUUUCUGCUUUCUCUCUUAUUCUCUAGAGAGAGAAACUCUCUCAAAAUCGCUCUCCCCAACCGUGGGAGAUGAACCGACGAAUCCCUCUGGCCACCAGAGAUCGGUGGCCACGAGGAACCAAAUUGGCCUAGAACCCCUCUCUUAACCUUCCCUCUCUUUAGCCUCUGCCACUCUCUAAGAAAACCUAAAAAACUGAACCCCAAAACCAAAUACAAAAGGGACGAGACUUUUUACCUUCCUCUAGUGGGUUCCUUGGUCAGAUGAACGAUGGGUGACGAACGGGGUUAAAACAGCAUGACAGUGGCGGCGGUGCAGAGCCUAUUUCGUAUUGCUCGGUUGUGUACAAGACCAUUACCAAGAUAAUGGUGUAGAGAUUGGCUUUGGUUUUGCCGGAUUUGAUUUCCCUAAAGCAAACUGCAUUUGUGAAGGGUUGAAGCAUUAUUGAUAAUACUUUGCUUGCCCAAAAAUUAGUUAAAGGCUAUGCUAGAAAGACCUUAUACCCAAAGUAUUUUCUCAAGGUGGACUUGCAAAAGGCUUUUGAUUCGGGAUGUGACACGACUGCUACGGGAGCUAAAGUAAGCUGGAAGAAAGUUUGUACCUUAAAGUCGGAGGGGCUCUCGGAGUGAAGAAUAUGUUUACUUGGAUAAAAGCUUGCCUAUUUUUGUUUAUAAGGAAUAUUUUGAUUGGGGAGGGAUCCCUUUGGGUUGCUUGGUUGAAAGCUUAUGUCCUCAAAAGGGUAGAUUUUUGACAGGUGGAAUGCAAGUUUAAUGCUAGUUGGAUUUUUAUGACGUUGCUUGAUCUUCGAGGGGAGGCUCGUCCUUUGUUUGCUGCAAUGGACGUUCGUGCAAUCAAAUUAGCAUGGAUUUGGUCCUCUAUAUCGUGUGGUGGAGAUAGGGUUGCUUGGAGCAAAAUUAUUUGGUUCCCCCUGUAUGUUUCCAAAUUUGCUAUUAUUUGUUGGAUGGCAAUCCUAUGAAGGCUUCCAACGAGAGACAAGCUGCAUCAGAUGGGAUUGGAGGUGGAGUCUCAUCGUUGCAUUUGUGGUGUUGGAGAAGAGAGCAGAGAGCAUCCCUUUUUUGUUUGCCUAUAUUCCAUGCGGGUCUGGACUAUGGUUUUGAGUUGUUCCAUUUUUAGACAAAUUCUUAGUUGGGAAGAGGAGUUGGCUUGGGCCAUUCGUUCCUUCAAAGGUAAAUACUUUCUUACCUUCAUUCUUAAGUUAGCUUGGAGUGCACAUAUAUAUUGUAUAUGGGAGGAAAAGAAUUGUAGACAUUUUAGGAAUGUGUUUAGAUAUGAGGAUGAGAUUUUGGAGGUCAUUAGGGAUACAGUGCGUAUUAAAAUAGGAGGCAGGGUAUUCAAUCGGACUAAUACUGUAAAUGAGGACAUUUGUGUAAGGUGAGGUAUUAUUUAAAGCUUAUAGGCUUUUGU